rnacentral:lncRNA from 13 species
GAGUCACUCUAAUAUGGAAAGGAGGACAGUCGGGAGUUGGGAGGCAACACAUUUGACUUUUGCUUAAGAAGGAUCUUGCAGAAAGUGAAGAAGAGCAGGAAGGGAUAAGGCAUUUGAAUGAAGACUGAUGUUCUCUUCUUUGGUCUGAGGAUUUAGGACACAUUCACUGCCUGAUCACUGUGGCCCAGAAGCCACAGCCACUGCUGAGAGAUAGAGGCCCCAUGUUCCCUGUACACAUCUUUCCCCAACCCUCUCUGAGGCUUCUGUGUUCACAGAAGCAGGUCUGGUGCUCAAAAGGAUAACUUUCUACCAUACAAAAAAAAGUUUUUUUCAUUUUGAGCAGGACAUCACUUCUGAUUUUCCUACCUUUGACAUGGACUAGACUAAUUAACAAAUUCUGGAGGGGAGACACUUCCAAACAUCUCUGACAUUCUGGCUUCACAAAGGUUAGGAGAGCUGUUAUGGAGAGGAUGGAGCCUUUUUCCUCUUCCUGGGAAAGUCUGAAGAAGAAAGGGGCUACUGAGAAGUCUAAUAGAUUCAGCAGUCUAAUACAUAUUGUGUUUAAAUAGACAUCUUUUGGUAACCUGAGGUAGGGAUGGUGUGUUAGGCCAUUCUUUCUUGCUAUGGAGAAAUAUCUGAGACUGGGUAAUUUAUAAAGAAAAGAGGUUUGAUUGGCUCAAGGUUCUGCAGGCUGUACAGGAAGCAUAAUGACAUCUGCUUCUGGGGAGGCCUCUGGAAGCUUCCUAUGAUGGUGGAAGGUGGAGAGGGAGCUUGCACAUCACAUGGCAAAAGCAAGAGGAAGAGAGAGGUGGGGAGGUGCCACACACUUUUAAAAGACCAGAGCUCAUGAAAACACACUCACUAUUGUGAGGACAGCACCAAGAGGAUGGUGCUAAACUAUUCAUGAGAAAUCCUCCCCCAUGAUCCAGUCACCUCCCACCAGGCCCCACCUCCAACACUGGGGAUUACAUUUCUACAAGAGAUUUGGGUGGAAACACACCCAAACUAUAUCAGGUGGUCCAAAAUGCAUGCAGUUUCUCUUCCAGCCAGUCUUUCCUCACUUCCUGGGACUGCAUCUGCCACUGGAGCAAAUAUGCUACUUUCUAAAGGUGAUCUAAUCGUAAAGAUGCCAACUGCAGUUAAGUGUCUCAGUAUUUCCAAGGGUUUAUAACUCAGCUAUAAAAAUUCACUUAAGGCUACAGCUUGACAUAUAAUUUCUCAGCCCAGGAGUGAAUUUCUCUAACCAUUUCCCUUUAAUUCAACACUACUUGAUUCAAUGUAUCUUUCAUCCUUUAAUAAUAUAUGUUCAUGAGUUGUUACUGCAUCAAUACAAAUCAUGUCCCUUGCUAAAGUAAUUAUGGAGGGUAAAUAUGAAAAAAGAACUUCACUGAUUGAGAGUUUAUGAAA